rnacentral:rRNA from 1 species
ACCCGCUGAACUUAAGCAUAUCAAUAAGCGGAGGAAAAGAAACCAACAGGGAUUGCCCUAGUAACGGCGAGUGAAGCGGCAACAGCUCAAAUUUGAAAUCUGGCCCCAGGCCCGAGUUGUAAUUUGUAGAGGAUGCUUUUGGUGCGGUACUUUCCGAGUUCCCUGGAACGGGACGCCUUAGAGGGUGAGAGCCCCGUACGGUUGGAUACCUAGCCUCUGUAAAGCUCCUUCGACGAGUCGAGUAGUUUGGGAAUGCUGCUCAAAAUGGGAGGUAAAUUUCUUCUAAAGCUAAAUACCGGCCAGAGACCGAUAGCGCACAAGUAGAGUGAUCGAAAGAUGAAAAGCACUUUGAAAAGAGGGUUAAAUAGCACGUGAAAUUGUUGAAAGGGAAGGACUUAUGACCAGACUUUUUCUAGGCGGAUCAUCCGGUGUUCUCACCGGUGCACUUCGCCUAGUUAAGGCCAGCAUCGGUUUCCGUAGAGGGAUAAAAGCAGUAGGAAUGUGGCUCCCUCGGGAGUGUUAUAGCCUAUUGUAUAAUACCUUUAUGGGGACCGAGGUUCGCGCUUCGGCAAGGAUGCUGGCAUAAUGGUCAUCAGUCACCCGUCUUGAAACACGGACCAAGGAGUCGAACAUUUAUGCGAGUGUUUGGGUGUUAAACCCUCACGCGUAAUGAAAGUGAACGGAGGUGAGAGCCUUAGGGUGCAUCAUCGACCGAUCCUGAAGUCUUCGGAUGGAUUUGAGUAAGAGCAUAACUGUUCGGACCCGAAAGAUGGUGAACUAUGCGUGGAUAGGGUGAAGCCAGAGGAAACUCUGGUGGAGGCUCGCAGCGGUUCUGACGUGCAAAUCGAUCGUCAAA